rnacentral:rRNA from 1 species
GAUGAACGCUAGCGGGAGGCCUAACACAUGCAAGCCGAGCGGUAGAGUUUCUUCGGAAACUUGAGAGCGGCGCACGGGUGCGUAACACGUGUGCAACCUACCUUUAUCUGGGGGAUAGCCUUUCGAAAGGAAGAUUAAUACCCCAUAAUAUAAUGAUUGGCAUCAAUUAUUAUUGAAAACUCCGGUGGAUAGAGAUGGGCACGCGCAAGAUUAGAUAGUUGGUGAGGUAACGGCUCACCAAGUCAAUGAUCUUUAGGGGUCCUGAGAGGGAGAUCCCCCACACUGGUACUGAGACACGGACCAGACUCCUACGGGAGGCAGCAGUGAGGAAUAUUGGACAAUGGGUGAGAGCCUGAUCCAGCCAUCCCGCGUGAAGGAUGACGGUCCUAUGGAUUGUAAACUUCUUUUGGACAGGGAUAAACCUACCCUCGUGAGGGUAGCUGAAGGUACUGUACGAAUAAGCACCGGCUAACUCCGUG